UAGCAAGAGUAAAAUUUAAAAUAGCACGUUUAAAAUACAAAUAUCCUUCCAGAAUAUAUUAGUAUAUAUCGUAGACUGUGGUAAAUAUACACAAAGCGAUUUCUCGUGUCAGCAGUAGGGGGAGCUGGAGAGACGUCACGGCAGGAGAACAACAGAGGAGAGUGUCUUUAAGGAAAUACAGGUUUAGAAAUAAAACUUCAAAAUCAAGAAAAAUUAAAACACCAGAAGACGGGCUUUAUUCAGCAGGUGUCUUGAUAUCAUGAGCUGAUGGUAGCUGCACAGAUCUCAGACUGCCUGAAGCACAUCUCAGCAUUGACGAAUCCUGCCAAAGACUGAGCUCCUCAUCUUCCCUGAAGUUUCCAGUGUUCUUCAAAAGCAUAAAUGUGUUCAACAGAAGAAAGUCAAACUGGAUUGGAAUAAGUGGAGGGUGAGAUUUCUUUUUU